rnacentral:rRNA from 1 species
GAGUAAUGUCUGGGAAACUGCCUGAUGGAGGGGGAUAACUACUGGAAACGGUGGCUAAUACCGCAUAACGUCGCAAGACCAAAGAGGGGGACCUUCGGGCCUCUUGCCAUCAGAUGUGCCCAGAUGGGAUUAGCUUGUUGGUGAGGUAACGGCUCACCAAGGCGACGAUCCCUAGCUGGUCUGAGAGGAUGACCAGCCACACUGGAACUGAGACACGGUCCAGACUCCUACGGGAGGCAGCAGUGGGGAAUAUUGCACAAUGGGCGCAAGCCUGAUGCAGCCAUGCCGCGUGUAUGAAGAAGGCCUUCGGGUUGUAAAGUACUUUCAGCGGGGAGGAAGGUGUUGUGGUUAAUAACCGCAGCAAUUGACGUUACCCGCAGAAGAAGCACCGGCUAACUCCGUGCCAGCAGCCGCGGUAAUACGGAGGGUGCAAGCGUUAAUCGGAAUUACUGGGCGUAAAGCGCACGCAGGCGGUCUGUCAAGUCGGAUGUGAAAUCCCCGGGCUCAACCUGGGAACUGCAUUCGAAACUGGCAGGCUUGAGUCUUGUAGAGGGGGGUAGAAUUCCAGGUGUAGCGGUGAAAUGCGUAGAGAUCUGGAGGAAUACCGGUGGCGAAGGCGGCCCCCUGGACAAAGACUGACGCUCAGGUGCGAAAGCGUGGGGAGCAAACAGGAUUAGAUACCCUGGUAGUCCACGCCGUAAACGAUGUCUACUUGGAGGUUGUGCCCUUGAGGCGUGGCUUCCGGAGCUAACGCGUUAAGUAGACCGCCUGGGGAGUACGGCCGCAAGGUUAAAACUCAAAUGAAUUGACGGGGGCCCGCACAAGCGGUGGAGCAUGUGGUUUAAUUCGAUGCAACGCGAAGAACCUUACCUGGUCUUGACAUCCACGGAAGUUUUCAGAGAUGAGAAUGUGCCUUCGGGAACCGUGAGACAGGUGCUGCAUGGCUGUCGUCAGCUCGUGUUGUGAAAUGUUGGGUUAAGUCCCGCAACGAGCGCAACCCUUAUCCUUUGUUGCCAGCGGUUAGGCCGGGAACUCAAAGGAGACUGCCAGUGAUAAACUGGAGGAAGGUGGGGAUGACGUCAAGUCAUCAUGGCCCUUACGACCAGGGCUACACACGUGCUACAAUGGCGCAUACAAAGAGAAGCGACCUCGCGAGAGCAAGCGGACCUCAUAAAGUGCGUCGUAGUCCGGAUUGGAGUCUGCAACUCGACUCCAUGAAGUCGGAAUCGCUAGUAAUCGUGGAUCAGAAUGCCACGGUGAAUACGUUCCCGGGCCUUGUACACACCGCCCGUCACACCAUGGGAGUGGGUUGCAAAAGAAGUAGGUAGCUUAACCUUCGGGAGGGCGCUUACCACUUUGUGAUUCAUGACUGGGGUGAAGUCGUAACAAGGUAACCGUAGGGGAACCUGCGGUUGGAUCACCUCCUUACCUUAAAGAAGC